UACGGAGGGAGCUAGCGUUGUUCGGAAUUACUGGGCGUAAAGCGCACGUAGGCGGCUUUGUAAGUUAGAGGUGAAAGCCUGGGGCUCAACUCCAGAAUUGCCUUUAAGACUACAUCGCUUGAAUCAUGGAGAGGCGGGUGGAAUUCCGAGUGUAGAGGUGAAAUUCGUAGAUAUUCGGAAGAACACCAGUGGCGAAGGCGGCCCGCUGGACAUGUAUUGACGCUGAGGUGCGAAAGCGUGGGGAGCAAACAGG
rnacentral:rRNA from 1 species